GGAUGCUUCGAGCAUGGUCUGGCCUAAGUUCCUUGGAACAGGACGUCAUAGAGGGUGAGAAUCCCGUAUGCGGUCAGGUGCCUACGCUCAUGUGAAGCUCCUUCGACGAGUCGAGUUGUUUGGGAAUGCAGCUCAAAAUGGGUGGUAAAUUUCAUCUAAAGCUAAAUAUUGGCCAGAGACCGAUAGCGCACAAGUAGAGUGAUCGAAAGAUGAAAAGCACUUUGGAAAGAGAGUUAAACAGUACGUGAAAUUGUUGAAAGGGAAGCGCUUGCAACCAGACUUGCGCGCGGCCGAUCAUCCGGUGUUCUCACCGGUGCACUCGGCCGUGCUCAGGCCAGCAUCGGUUUUGGCGGCUGGAUAAAGGCCCUAGGAAUGUAGCUCCUCUCGGGGAGUGUUAUAGCCUAGGGUGCAAUGCAGCCUGCUGGGACCGA
rnacentral:rRNA from 1 species